rnacentral:rRNA from 1 species
GAUAGCUUGCUAUUUUUAUGAAGAGCGGCGAACGGGUGAGUAACGCGUGGGAAAUCUGCCGAGUAGCGGGGGACAACGUUUGGAAACGAACGCUAAUACCGCAUAACAAUGAGAAUCGCAUGAUUCUUAUUUAAAAGAAGCAAUUGCUUCACUACUUGAUGAUCCCGCGUUGUAUUAGCUAGUUGGUAGUGUAAAGGACUACCAAGGCGAUGAUACAUAGCCGACCUGAGAGGGUGAUCGGCCACACUGGGACUGAGACACGGCCCAGACUCCUACGGGAGGCAGCAGUAGGGAAUCUUCGGCAAUGGGGGCAACCCUGACCGAGCAACGCCGCGUGAGUGAAGAAGGUUUUCGGAUCGUAAAACUCUGUUGUUAGAGAAGAACGUUAAGUAGAGUGGAAAAUUACUUAAGUGACGGUAUCUAACCAGAAAGGGACGGCUAACUACGUGCCAGCAGCCGCGGUAAUACGUAGGUCCCAAGCGUUGUCCGGAUUUAUUGGGCGUAAAGCGAGCGCAGGUGGUUUCUUAAGUCUGAUGUAAAAGGCAGUGGCUCAACCAUUGUGUGCAUUGGAAACUGGGAGACUUGAGUGCAGGAGAGGAGAGUGGAAUUCCAUG